rnacentral:lncRNA from 1 species
UUGCAUAUUAUUCUACAAUAUAAAUCACGCAGCAUAGAAUAUCCAUAAUGCUCAUAAAAGUAUACAAAAUGAAGUAUGCUUGAUGUUAUCUUUCUCAUGAAGUGGUUAGUUGGAUGCAUGAGAUCUACAGUUGGGUCCUUAGUCAAUGCCAUGUUUAACUUGAGAGCAAUUUGGAAUAGGUGUGGACAGGACUAAAGGAAGAGCCAUAUAUUGGAAAAAUUUUUAAGUAGAUAUAAUCUACCACAUGUAUUGAAGACAAAGCCAAUAAAAGAUGCUGUCUCGGUAUUUUGAACUGAAAAAUUCUUCAAUCACCUCAAGCAAUGCUAUUAUAUU